rnacentral:rRNA from 1 species
UACGUAGGGGGCUAGCGUUGUCCGGAAUCAUUGGGCGUAAAGAGCGUGUAGGCGGUCCGGUAAGUCCGUUGUGAAAGUCAGGGGCUCAACCCUUGAAUGCCGGCGGAUACUGUCGGGCUAGAGUCCGGAAGAGGCGAGUGGAAUUCCCGGUGUAGCGGUGAAAUGCGCAGAUAUCGGGAGGAACACCUAUGGCGAAGGCAGCUCGCUGGGGACGGUACU